rnacentral:rRNA from 1 species
UACAGAGGGUGCAAGCGUUAAUCGGAAUUACUGGGCGUAAAGCGCGCGUAGGCGGCUUUUCAAGUCGAUUGUGAAAUCCCCGGGCUUAACCUGGGAACUGCAGUCGAGACUGUCUAGCUAGAGUAUGGGAGAGGGAAGUGGAAUUUCAGGUGUAGCGGUGAAAUGCGUAGAUAUCAGGAGGAACACCGGUGGCGAAGGCGGGUCUCUGGGCCGAUACUGACGCUGAGGAGCGAAAGCGUGGGGAGCGAACAGG